CUGUUUCUCCUUGACAAGCACAAAAAUUUUGUGCAGAAACCACUGAUAGACAUUUGUGAAAAUACCUUUAUUCAUCUCCUCUGAAUAUUGUUAUUCAAAUAAGUGCUUUUGCAUCUCAUAGAUCUCAUGGGCAUCUUCCAGCUUCCUUCAAAUAGCUUGUUUGAUUAUCUCUUCUGGUAGAGUUCAUGAUAUUUUUCAAAGGAUUCAAGAGACUGUUGCUGCACUUUGAACAGAUCUUCUGAUUUAAUUUCAUCCAAAAGGAAUCCCCUUCACAUGCAGAAAAACUGCCCCACAGUGUGAGCCAACAUGGAGAUCUUAAUCCUUUAUCACUGGUGCACCAAUUGAAACAGAAAAGCAAUUUAUUUUGACCUUUCGACUAAAGAAGAAAUUUAGAAAACAGAAAAAAAUGCAUAAGAAAUGCCAGUAUUCUUCAGUAUCUUUCAGAAGCCUUUCUUCUCCUUUAGGUCUUGUGCCAGUUUUCUAAAGGAUAUGUGCAAGGACUCUUUCAUUUCUGAUUUCUGCUAUUGGAAGAUACAUGUCUGUGUUCCCUGGUUUCAGCACAGAACCUGAACAGAAGAAUUUCCCUCCACAGUUCCUUUGUGGGUACAACAGCAGGUAGCUGUUCUGUGUCUAGCCUGCCUCCUCAGGGCUGUAGGCAGAAAAUGAUCUGAUGACAAAGAUUAUUCUGAUGCUGUGAUUUUAAAGGGGGUAAAUUGUGAUACUAAACUUCUUUCUAAAGUCCCUUCUCCAGUCUGUCUCUAAAGUUUCCCUGUGAUGAAAGUUAGUGAGCCAUUGAAGUGUCGAUUCACAAAUACUUAUCUUUCAUUGUGCUUCUGUGAUCAGUUUAGACACACCGUAGGAAAUUUAUGAUAUCUGAAAACCCACUAUCAUCCCUCGAAAUGAUGCAGUACAUUUUUUUUUCAUGUUUUCUUGUGAAAUGAUCCCCUUUACACGGCUUCUCCUAUUUGCCAACAUAACUGAUAACUUCUCAGUGAUUUUUGCCAUGCUGAGCUAUAUGCAAAGAGAUUAGGUUUUUCCAUUGCGGUUUUAACACUCCUUGAAAAACGAAGGUUAGUAUUUUUACUCCCUUUGCACUGCAGAGAAGGAACUGGAAGCUAUCAUUUAGGAGAUGAGUGUUCUAUUGAGCGGGUUGUUAGAUAAAAGAGGAGCUAUUUUCUAGCAACUUUGUGGCAUUUCUUACACUUUCAUUUUCUUUGCCCUGAUAGCACAAGAUGGAUCUCUGCAGCAAGCUACUUUGCUCUUUGUCCCAUUUAUAUUAUUGAGUGUAUCAAUGGAACAAGGUUUUGUUUAUUGCAAGAUGUGUAGAAGUUCUUUUGAAAAGCAUGCCAUGUUUGUACUGUAAUACUAAGUAACUGUUGAAACGUAGAUAAUACUAAUACUGCAGUGUUAUAUAGUCACACUUCUUGAAUAGUAAACUUGUUUGAUACAACACUUUUU